rnacentral:tRNA from 2 species
GGAGAGGUGGCCGAGUGGUUGAAGGCAUCAGUCUUGAAAACUGACGUACUCGCAAGGGUACCGUGGGUUCGAAUCCCACCCUCUCCGCCA